AUUUAUUUGAACAGAAGAAAAAAAAAUGGAAAAACACCUUCUCGCUUAGAGCUUUUUCUUGAAUCCAGAAAGAGAAAGCAAGGCAAAGAAAUUGAUCCAAUAUCACAAGAAGCCAUUGAAAAGUUUCAGCAACUAAAGAAACAACGAGAAGAAGGA